ensembl:lncRNA
CACACACACACACACACACACACUCACACACACACAUGCACACACAUACACAUACGCACACACACGCACACACACACGCUCACGCACACACACACGCUCACGCACACACACACUCACACACGUGCACAUGCACACUCACACACACAGACACACACACACACUCACACACACACAUGCACACACACACACACACUCACACACUCACACACACAUGCACACGCACACACACUCACACACACACAUACGCACACACACGCACACACACACGCUCACGCACACACACACUCACACACGUGCACAUGCACACUCACACACACAGACACACACACACACUCGCACCCUCGCACACACGCACACACACACACACACACACACACACACACUCACACCCUCGCACACACACACACACACACACACACACACACUCACACACACACAUGCACACACACACUCACGCACCCUCGCACACACACACACACACUCACGCACACACACACACUCGUACACACACACACACGCACACACACGCACACACACAGUCACACACACACACACGCACACACACACACACUCAGAAGGAAAUCUGAUCUGAGGUUAGCUGAAGGAUUCCAUCUUUCUGAAAGUGACCCGUAAAUACUUACACUGCAGGAAGGUCAGGAGGUCAAGAGGGGUGAAAGGUCAACCCCAGCCCUUGGCAGGACUUCCUGUUAGACAGAGAUGAAUUUGUUCCCAGAGUGAUGAUGAGCUUCAGAUGUGCUGUGUUUAAAACACACGCGAUUCUUCAGCUUUACUUCACUAAUAUUUAUAUUUAAUCCCUUAUUAUUUAUAGUAUUAUUAUUAGCUUUGAUUAGUGUAAAUAAUUACAGUUAUUAUUAUAAUAUUAUAAUUAUAAUUUCGCUCAGAUUAAAAGCUGAUUAAACUGCAUUCUGUAUCAGCACUCAGAAUAAAUAUUAUGUUUAUAUUAUUUAUAUUUUGAUAAAAAAAAUAUAUUUUACAAUUCUUAUGAAGUGAUAUUAGGAUAGAUUUUUUAAAAAAUUGCAAUAACUAUAUAUUAUUUUAUUUCAUGUGAUUUUUUUAAAGUGCUGUAAAUAAAUAGUUUAUUUGUAAAGUUUAACUAAUAAAAAAAAUAUGAAAAGUACACCACAAACUCAGCAAAAUAAAAUAAAAAAUAAAUACACAUUACAUCAAUAAUGAAUGUUUUGUUAUAAUCAAACAAACUUUUGUGUGAGUGUGAGUGUGUGUGUGUGUGUGUGAGUGUGUGUGUGUGUGUGUGUGUGUGUGUGUGGUGUGUGUGUGUGUGUGAGUGUGUGUGUGUGUGUGUGUGUAUAUGAGUGUUUAUAUGAAUCCUAAACAGGACACUACGUAUAAAAUCUGUUUAUUUUCACGUCACGUGUAAUCCAAUCCAAAGUUACAGUAUGUGCAUGUAAGGGGCGGGGUUUAGUGCCAACGUUACCAUGACAACAAGAUUUGCGUGAGAUCAGGCUAUGUGUGCGGUUUUUUGAUCAUGCUGUGUGUGUGUUUUUAACGAGUUUCUGUCUCAAAAACACUGAUUGUAAACACUGAGGUCAGUGCCAUCCU